rnacentral:tRNA from 1 species
GGCGCGUUCGGCAAGCGGUUAAGCCAUAUCCCUCUCACGGAUACACUCACGGGUUCGAACCCCGUACGCGCUACCA